AUCUGGUUGUUACUGUGAUUGUGGUUGUUGUCCUGUUGGCUGUUUUUCUACCGCUCCUGUACAAGUGGAAGAAAAGAAGAAGCUCCAGUGAUUUGAGCAGCAGGGUCUACUUAACAAAUAUGGAGUCUGUCAUCUAUGAGAAUUCUGCUCGAGUCUCCACAUUGGAGGAGUCUGGCUACGAAAACGUCAAUCCAUCCUCCAUCUACCAGACCCUCAAUCCAACCACAAUGGCUGAUCAGACGUACUCCACACUGGGAC